GGGGUUGUGGCUCAGUGGUAGAGUGCUUGCCUCACAUGUGAGAGACCCUGGGUUCAAUCCUCAGCACCACA
rnacentral:tRNA from 1 species